CUUCUUCUUGGCCACUAUUCAGGAGACUGAGAAAAGACACCACGAUACCCACAUCAUUGGAGAAUGGAACACCAUUGUAAGGCUCUUAACCUCUCUAUAGAGAGAAUGGAGAGGCAGACCAAAUUAAUAUUAUCAAUAAAAGCUUUUCAUGUUUCCCCCUCCUAGAGUACUUAUUUUUGCUUUUUUUAUUUGAUCCAAUGGAUUAUUA
rnacentral:lncRNA from 1 species